CAGCAGCCGCGGUAAUUCGAGGGGUGCAAGCGUUGCUCGGAAUUAUUGGGCGUAAAGGGUAGGUAGGUGGUCUUGUUUGUCUGUGGUGAAAUCCUUGGGCUUAACCCAAGAAGUGCCAUAGAAACGGCAAGACUCGAGUUCUGGAGAGGGUCGUGGAAUUCCCGGUGUAGCGGUGAAAUGCGUAGAGAUCGGGAGGAACACCAGAGGCGAAGGCGGCGACCUGGACAGAUACUGACACUCAACUACGAAAGCGUGGGUAGCAAACAGGAUUAGAUACCCUGGUAGUCCACGCCGUAAACGAUCGGUACUAGGCUUAAGAGGUCUUGACCCCUUUUGAGCCGGAGCUAACGCGAUAAGUACCGCGCCUGGGAAGUACGGUCGCAAGACUAAAACUCAAAUGAAUUGACGG
rnacentral:rRNA from 1 species